UACGGAGGGUCCAAGCGUUUAUCCGGAAUCAUUGGGUUUAAAGGGUCCGUAGGCGGUUUUGUAAGUCAGUGGUGAAAGCCCAUCGCUCAACGGUGGAACGGCCAUUGAUACUGCAAGACUUGAAUUAUUGGGAAGCAACUAGAAUAUGUAGUGUAGCGGUGAAAUGCUUAGAGAUUACAUGGAAUACCAAUUGCGAAGGCAGGUUGCUACCCAAUA
rnacentral:rRNA from 1 species